rnacentral:rRNA from 1 species
UAUCACUUAAAGCGAUUCAGCGGGUUACGAUUGACGGAGCGAAGCGACGUCAAAGCGUAUACAAAGUCGAGUCGGUUUAAGGAUACGUUCGUUGGGUAGGGGAGCGUUCUGUAAGCCUGUGAAGGUGGCCUGUGAGGGUUGCUGGAGGUAUCAGAAGUGCGAAUGCUGACAUAAGUAACGAUAAAGCGGGUGAAAAGCCCGCUCGCCGGACGACCAA